ensembl:ncRNA ZK180.9 ncRNA
AAGUCUUCCGGUGUGGGAAAGAAAAAUUGGCCCUCGGGCGACGACAUUUUUGAUGCAGCGGCGGCUGCUCAAGCUGCAGCUCUUUUCAUUUUCCAUUUUUUGCUCUCGGGGUC